CCUACGGGAGGCAGCAGUGGGGAAUUUUGGACAAUGGGCGCAAGCCUGAUCCAGCAAUGCCGCGUGAGUGAAGAAGGCCUUCGGGUUGUAAAGCUCUUUUGUCAGGGAAGAAACGGUGAGAGCUAAUAUCUCUUGCUAAUGACGGUACCUGAAGAAUAAGCACCGGCUAACUACGUGCCAGCAGCCGCGGUAAUACGUAGGGUGCAAGCGUUAAUCGGAAUUACUGGGCGUAAAGCGUGCGCAGGCGGUUUUGUAAGUCUGUCGUGAAAUCCCCGGGCUCAACCUGGGAAUUGCGAUGGAGACUGCAAGGCUAGAAUCUGGCAGAGGGGGGUAGAAUUCCACGUGUAGCAGUGAAAUGCGUAGAGAUGUGGAGGAACACCGAUGGCGAAGGCAGCCCCCUGGGUCAAGAUUGACGCUCAUGCACGAAAGCGUGGGGAGCAAACAGGAUUAGAUACCCUGGUAGUCCACGCCCUAAACGAUGUCUACUAGUUGUCGGGUUUUAAUAACUUGGUAACGCAGCUAACGCGUGAAGUAGACCGCCUGGGGAAGUACGGUCGCAAGNUUAAAACGUUCAAAGUUGUUAGUUGCGNGNGAGAGCGACGACGACGACGACGGAGGAGGAGG
rnacentral:rRNA from 1 species